rnacentral:rRNA from 1 species
UUGAACGCUGGCGGCAGGCCUAACACAUGCAAGUCGAACGGUAACAGGAAACAGCUUGCUGUUUCGCUGACGAGUGGCGGACGGGUGAGUAAUGUCUGGGAAACUGCCUGAUGGAGGGGGAUAACUACUGGAAACGGUAGCUAAUACCGCAUAACGUCGCAAGACCAAAGAGGGGGACCUUCGGGCCUCUUGCCAUCGGAUGUGCCCAGAUGGGAUUAGCUUGUUGGUGGGGUAACGGCUCACCAAGGCGACGAUCCCUAGCUGGUCUGAGAGGAUGACCAGCCACACUGGAACUGAGACACGGUCCAGACUCCUACGGGAGGCAGCAGUGGGGAAUAUUGCACAAUGGGCGCAAGCCUGAUGCAGCCAUGCCGCGUGUAUGAAGAAGGCCUUCGGGUUGUAAAGUACUUUCAGCGGGGAGGAAGGGAGUAAAGUUAAUACCUUUGCUCAUUGACGUUACCCGCAGAAGAAGCACCGGCUAACUCCGUGCCAGCAGCCGCGGUAAUACGGAGGGUGCAAGCGUUAAUCGGAAUUACUGGGCGUAAAGCGCACGCAGGCGGUUUGUUAAGUCAGAUGUGAAAUCCCCGGGCUCAACCUGGGAACUGCAUCUGAUACUGGCAAGCUUGAGUCUCGUAGAGGGGGGUAGAAUUCCAGGUGUAGCGGUGAAAUGCGUAGAGAUCUGGAGGAAUACCGGUGGCGAAGGCGGCCCCCUGGACGAAGACUGACGCUCAGGUGCGAGAGCGUGGGGAGCAAACAGGAUUAGAUACCCUGGUAGUCCACGCCGUAAACGAUGUCGACUUGGAGGUUGUGCCCUUGAGGCGUGGCUUCCGGAGCUAACGCGUUAAGUCGACCGCCUGGGGAGUACGGCCGCAAGGUUAAAACUCAAAUGAAUUGACGGGGGCCCGCACAAGCGGUGGAGCAUGUGGUUUAAUUCGAUGCAACGCGAAGAACCUUACCUGGUCUUGACAUCCACGGAAGUUUUCAGAGAUGAGAAUGUGCCUUCGGGAACCGUGAGACAGGUGCUGCAUGGCUGUCGUCAGCUCGUGUUGUGAAAUGUUGGGUUAAGUCCCGCAACGAGCGCAACCCUUAUCCUUUGUUGCCAGCGGUCCGGCCGGGAACUCAAAGGAGACUGCCAGUGAUAAACUGGAGGAAGGUGGGGAUGACGUCAAGUCAUCAUGGCCCUUACGACCAGGGCUACACACGUGCUACAAUGGCGCAUACAAAGAGAAGCGACCUCGCGAGAGCAAGCGGACCUCAUAAAGUGCGUCGUAGUCCGGAUUGGAGUCUGCAACUCGACUCCAUGAAGUCGGAAUCGCUAGUAAUCGUGGAUCAGAAUGCCACGGUGAAUACGUUCCCGGGCCUUGUACACACCGCCCGUCACACCAUGGGAGUGGGUUGCAAAAGAAGUAGGUAGCUUAACCUUCGGGAGGGCGCUUACCACUUUGUGAUUCAUGACUGGGGUG